UUAAGUGAAGCCAAAUCAGCGGCUUAUCCCUGUUAAUGAUAGAAUUGGGAUUUCUCCCCACUUAGA
rnacentral:tRNA from 1 species